UAAAGAUUCAUCGGCUGCGGAUGGCCAUGCGGCGCAUUAGCUAGUCGGCGGGGUAACGGCCCACCGAGGCGACGAUGCGUAGGGGUUCUGAGAGGAAGGUCCCCCACACUGGUACUGAGACACGGACCAGACUCCUACGGGAGGCAGCAGUGAGGAAUAUUGGUCAAUGGCCGGGAGGCUGAACCAGCCAAGUCGCGUGAGGGAAGACGGCCCUACGGGUUGUAAACCUCUUUUGUCAGGGAGCAAGAGGCGGGUCGAGACCUGCUGUGAGAGUACCUGAAGAAAAAGCAUCGGCUAACUCCGUGCCAGCAGCCGCGGUAAUACGGAGGAUGCGAGCGUUAUCCGGAUUUAUUGGGUUUAAAGGGUGCGCAGGCGGAGGCACAAGUCAGCGGUAAAAUCGCGGGGCUCAACCCCGCUCCGCCGUUGAAACUGUGUCCCUUGAGUGCGCGAAGGGUAGGCGGAAUGCGUGGUGUAGCGGUGAAAUGCAUAGAUAUCACGCAGAACUCCGAUCGCGAAGGCAGCCUACCGGCGCGCAACUGACGCUCAUGCACGAAAGCGUGGGUAUCGAACAGGAUUAGAUACCCUGGUAGUCCACGCAGUAAACGAUGAAUGCUAUCUGUCCG
rnacentral:rRNA from 1 species